GGUUCUAUAGUGUAGCGGUUAGCACAUCUGCUUUACACACAGAAGGUUCUGGGUUCUGGGUUCAUGCUCCAGUGGAGUCA
rnacentral:tRNA from 1 species